CUCAUCUGUCGUCGUCUCGAAACUUCUCCCUCCUUCUCUUCUCCGGCAGGCGGCAGCUCUUUUCGUCUUCUCGCUGGUGACCUUGGUAAAACACUGGCAAUUGCGGCAGGUCUGUCCAUUUUCUCCUUGUUAGAUUUUGUCAUUUUAAUAUGAGUCAUUCGCAAUUGUGGGGCUUAUAGUUUGUUUGAGCUGAUGUUGUUGCUUCUAACUGUGGUUAUUUGUGCUUUCGUUUAUCUUCCUUAUAUUUAACUGUAUUUUUCACAUUGAUUUUGUCAUUUUUCUAAUUAAUUUCAACAUUUAGGUGGUACUCGACUUUUCUUGGUUUUUUUGGUUCUUUCUUUGUGUAGUUGUGUAUUUAUAGUUGUGAAUAUCUGGUGUCAUUCAAUCGAGUAUUCCCUGGAGUUUACUUUCUAAACAUUUUGUAGGUUCAGACAACGUCGUUUGUUUGAUAUAUAGCUUUGUGGUUAACAGGAAAUUGAUGCCUCAUGAAGGUCCAGUGCCUCUGUUUGGCAACAGUUAUUUGUCAGUUAUGUAGCCUUCCAAUUGAAUGAGCUGUUCCUGUUUGCAUGAUUGUCUGUAAUAAGGUCAAUUCUAAAUGAAAUUUGGGAACAAAUUUUUGUUCUGGGAAUUGAGAUUGAUUCUAUUUGAACAUGCUAUUCAUGCUAGCCGAUGAUUACUUAUGAUCUUAUUAUGGGAACAUACAGUUUUGCUGACGUUUGUUUUGUAAUGAAACUGACUUUUUUGAAUAAGCUAUCAGCCUAUCCCACUUAACGUUCUGUUCCACGGUGAUCCUUAGCAGAUUUUUGGUUUUUUUAAGCAUAAAUAACAAUUCAUGCAAUUUAGUUUCCUGGAUGCAGUUAGUGCUAUUGAUAAGGAGAACUAUGUCCCCACAAGCAUCGAGGUGAUAUUCUUUUGAUAUGCAGUUCUCUGGGAGCUGUUGCAUCUAACACUUCUAGCUAUUUUGGCUUCAAUUAGAAUAUAGUUCUCUAAGUGUGAUCUUUAACAGUGCUCAUGUUGUGUUUAAAAUGUAUUUUCAGGUUUCUGCUCAUGUAAGAGAGGUUCUGGAUACUUUCCGUGUUGCAGCUGAACUCGGGAGUGAGUCAUUUGGAGCAUAUGUGAUUUCUAUGGCCUCCAAUGUGAGCUACUUCAAAAGGAUGCAAGGCUCACUGUCAGUGGGGAGCUAGGCCGAACUUGUGCAGGGGGAACGUUGUGUGACCAUUGUUUGAGACACUAAACGAUCUCCGUAGAGCUGGAUCAGUUAUCAGAAAAUUGUUAUCCAUUGAUUGGUAUCGAGAACAUAUUAUUCAAAAUCACAAUGGUCACCAAGAGGUUGCAUCUUAUGAAUGUACCACACUAACUUGCAUUCUGGGUGUGAUUAUUUUGUUAAGAAAGCUUGCUAACAGCUUAAUCUUUCUCAUAUGACUAAACUGGAGCAGGUUGAAAGAGUGGAGAUUUUGGAGACAUCCCUAUCAAGAACAAAGCGUUCCUCCUGCUGAUGUCCGUAGAGAUGAUGUCUCCCAAGAUGUUUCCGAUGGCGAAUUAUGUAUCAUCUGCCUCAUGGAUGCAUGAGAUUUAUUUAGGGAAUGAAUAUAUGUAGCAGCAUGUUACUAAAGUAAGAUAUUUAG